rnacentral:rRNA from 1 species
UUUUAGAUUGACACAGGGAGGUAGUGACAAGAAAUAACAAUACAGGGCUUUCGUCUUGUAAUUGGAAUGAUGGUGAUGUACAACCUCACCAGAGUACCAAUUGGAGGGCAAGUCUGGUGCCAGCAGCCGCGGUAAUUCCAGCUCCAAUAGCGUAUAUUAAACUUGUUGCAGUUAAAAAGCUCGUAGUUGUAUUUCAGCCUCGCGUUUUUUCCCUGGUUUUGGGUCUUUUCGCUGGCUUUUUUUUUACUUUGAGAAAAUUAGAGUGUUUCAAGCAGACUUUUGUCUUGAAUACUUCAGCAU